rnacentral:rRNA from 1 species
GAUGAACGCUGGCGGCGUGCCUAAUACAUGCAAGUUGAGCGAACGGACGAGAAGCUUGCUUCUCUGAUGUUAGCGGCGGACGGGUGAGUAACACGUGGAUAACCUACCUAUAAGACUGGGAUAACUUCGGGAAACCGGAGCUAAUACCGGAUAAUAUUUUGAACCGCAUGGUUCAAAAGUGAAAGACGGUCUUGCUGUCACUUAUAGAUGGAUCCGCGCUGCAUUAGCUAGUUGGUAAGGUAGCGGCUUACCAAGGCAACGAUGCAUAGCCGACCUGAGAGGGUGAUCGGCCACACUGGAACUGAGACACGGUCCAGACUCCUACGGGAGGCAGCAGUAGGGAAUCUUCCGCAAUGGGCGAAAGCCUGACGGAGCAACGCCGCGUGAGUGAUGAAGGUCUUCGGAUCGUAAAACUCUGUUAUUAGGGAAGAACAUAUGUGUAAGUAACUGUGCACAUCUUGACGGUACCUAAUCAGAAAGCCACGGCUAACUACGUG